AACGAACGCUGGCGGCAUGCCUAACACAUGCAAGUCGAACGAUGCCUUCGGGCAUAGUGGCGCACGGGUGCGUAACGCGUGGGAAUCUGCCUUUCGGUUCGGAAUAACUCAGGGAAACUUGAGCUAAUACCGGAUAACGUCGCAAGACCAAAGAUUUAUCACCGAAGGAUGGGCCCGCGUAGGAUUAGCUAGUUGGUGAGGUAAUGGCUCACCAAGGCGACGAUCCUUAGCUGGUCUGAGAGGAUGAUUAGCCACACUGGGACUGAGACACGGCCCGGACUCCUACGGGAUGCAGCAGUGGGGAAUAUUGGACAAUGGGGGAAAGCCUGAUCCAGCAAUGCCGCGUGAGUGAUGAAGGCCUUAGGGUUGUAAAGCUCUUUUACCCGGGAAGAUAAUGACGGUACCGGGAGAAUAAGCCCCGGCUAACUCCGUG
rnacentral:rRNA from 1 species